GCUUCCGUAGCGCAGUCGGCAGCGAAUCAGUCUAAUAAUCUGAAGGUCGUGAGUUCGAGCCUUACCGGGAGCA
rnacentral:tRNA from 1 species